rnacentral:rRNA from 1 species
CCAUUACGCAAGUAAGUAAGAUCCCUCAAAGACGAUGAGGUAGAUAGGUUCGGGGUGGAAGCGUGGCGACACGUGCAGCUGACGAAUACUAAUCGAUCGAGGACUUAACCAAA